rnacentral:miRNA from 1 species
CCGAAAGUCACUUCGGGUCUUGGUAAAAUGCAGAUUCUGAUUGCAUGGAGCUCAGUGGGUCUCAAGAGUCUGCAUUUCUUACAAGCUUCCAAGAGAUGCCCAA